UACGUAGGAGACGAGCGUUGUCCGGAAUUACUGGGCGUAAAGCGCGAUGUAGGCGGAUGGGCAAGUCUGCUGUGAAAGCUCCUGGCUUAACCGGGAGUGGUCGGUGGAAACUGCCAAUCUGGAGGACGGUAGAGGUAGGUAGAAUUCCCGGUGUAGUGGUGAAAUGCGUAGAGAUCGGGAGGAAUACCUGUGGCGAAGGCGGCCUACUGGGCCGGACCUGACGCUGGGACGCGAAGGCGUGGGGAGCGAACGGG
rnacentral:rRNA from 1 species